AAUCAGUUAAUCUCGAUAUAUCGAAUCAAAAAAAUGAAGUUCGUAAUAAGGAUGAAGGGAUUAAUUUCAUCUCCUCUAGGUUUAAAGAUAAAAAGGUCCUUCUUCUUCUUGAUGAUGUGGAUAAUGUCGAUCAAGUGAAGUGUUUGGCCGGUAAUCAUGAUUGGUUUUCUUUGGGAAGUAGGAUCAUUAUUACUGCGAGAAACAAGAGAAUUCUUGAAUUAGCUAAGGUGGACCAAAACUAUCCCCUUACCGAAUUGGAUCCCAAUCAAUCUUUGAUUUUGUUUAGCAAACAUGCGUUUCGAAAGGACUUUCCUCCAAGUGAAUUUGAGGGCCUCACUCGUGAAGUUGUAUCCACCGUUGGAGGACUUCCCUUAUCCCUUGAGGUUUUAGGUUCAUUAUUGUGCGGAAAAGAAUCAAAAGAAUGGAGAGAGAUGAUAAAAAAGUUAGAAAAGGACCCUUGUAUAGAAGUGCAAGAAAAGUUAAAGAUAAGUUACAAUGCAUUAGAUUAUGAACAAAAACAAAUAUUUUUGGAUAUUGCUUGCUUUCUCAUUGGCGUUGACAAGAGAAUCGCAUUCUACAUGUGGGACGCUUGUGACUUUUUUCCAGGGGAGAAUAUUGAAGUAUUGAGAUUUAUGUCAUUAAUAAAAAUUGGAGAUGAUCUUCGGCUCCGAAUGCAUGACCAAUUAAGAGAUCUUGGUAGGGCAAUUGUACGUGAGGAAAACCAGCAACAGCCUUGGCACCGUAGCAGGUUAUGGGACUCCAAGGAAGCCUUGAAAAUGCUCAAGAGAAAUGAGGGAAUGGACAAGAUUGAGGUCAUUGAUUUGAAUAAAGGCGACUCCGAAGGCUCCAGCAAAGUAGCCAAGCAAGAUGGCGACAUUUACACAGCAAAACAAUUCAAAAAAUUGACAAAUCUAAGAUCCCUUUACAUGAAAGGGGCACAUCUCAGUGGAGAUUUUGAGGGCUCAAUGGAGGAGUUAAAAUGGCUUCGAUGGCAAAAAUGUCCUAGGAAUUUUGAAGUAAACAAUUUUCACGUCGAGGAAUUGGCUGUACUCGAAUUGCCAUAUAGCGAGAUAAAUGAGAAAUGGAAAGGAUGGAGAUUUUUCAUGAUGGCAGAGAAGCUCAAAUAUCUCGACCUUUCAUAUUGUGAAUCCCCUCGGAAGAUACGUACUUCCUCUUAGCUUUUAAGAAGUUGGAGGUUCUCAUCCUCAAUUGGUGUAAGAGACUGAAGCGAAUUGACGCUUCAAUUGGAGACAUGGAGGCCCUCCUUCGCUUGGAGCUGGGUGCGUGUUUCCACCUUAGGGAGCUUCCGGCAAAAAUAGGUAAAUUAAAAGCGCUGCAGCAACUCGAUCUACGGCAUACUACAUCCCUUUCUGCAUUACCAAAUAGCAUAGGGUCUUUGGAGAAUCUAGAGAUUCUGGAUAUUUCUUACAGUGGUAUAGAAGAAUUGCCCAACGGUAUUGGGAGUCUAAGAAAGCUCCGAGAGUUACGUGCUUACGGUUGCAGAAAUCUAAAAGGGAUAAUGGUAGAAAGCAUGUGUAAUCUUUCUUCCCUAUGACUCCUUGAUUUUACAGACUGCACCAAGCUCCAAUCGUUGCCGGACCUUCCUUCCAGCUUAACACGUUUGGGCGUCACCUAUACAAGUCGUAAAUUGCCUUAGCUUUCCCAACUAGCCUAUCUCAAGGAACUACGACUUCGGGAUUGCGGAUUUCUCCGGUGCAUCUAGGAGCUUCCAUCAAUGCAAUUAAAGAGUUCAGAAUGCUCCCAACCGACAGACAUUGAAGAAGUGGAAUCACCACAAUCCCUAAACACACCCUUCAGGUUGGAAUUCUUGGAAGUCUGGAGCUGUGGAUCUAUCGAAAUGCUGGACGUUUCACAGCUAAUCAUCUAAAGACAUUAGAUGCCUACAAUUGCGAGAAUCUACUUGAAGUUCGAGUUCUUGACAAAUCGAUAUAUUUGGAAAGCUUGACUAUUACAUCCUGUGAUUCAAUCAAAUGGUUGGCCCUUCCAAAAUUCGAGGGUCUGAAGAAAUUGCAUGUUGAGAGAUGCGACAAAUUAGCCGAAAUUCAAGGCCUUGAUAGGUUGGAGUACCUAGAAGGGCUAGAUAUUAAAGAGUGCACUUUAAUGGAAAGGCUAUACCUUCCAAAAUCUGGGAGUGUGAAGAUAUUAGAAGCUAGAGACGGCAUAAACUUGGUUGAAAUUUAGGGCCUCGAUAGGUUGGAGUUUUUGGAAGAAUUGAAUAUCAUUGGAUGCAAGUCGCUCAAAACAAUUCCAGAAUUAUCUGGAACGCGGAUUUAUCGAUAUUAUUGGAUUACAUAUGGCACAUAUGGAGGAACAUGUCCAUCCUAUAUGGACGACUCGGAUGAGGAAUAGACCGGAAGGAUCCACAUUUUCUAUUGAAGGAUUUGAUUAUCAUUCCACCGGUUGAUGUUAAUGCUGAAAUAUCCAAGAGAGCUUUCACAAGGCUAUUCUAAAAGGAGUCGAAAUCAUAGAAGGAUCGGGAGUUUGAUGUUUCUUGAACUUCUCCGAACCUUGACAAUGCAUCCUUGGAAUGAUAAAAGCACUAGGACCACUAUGCGUCAUGCUUCUGUUUCAACUUCAGUUUGAAAAACCACUAGCUUCUCAAGUUCGGCUCCCAGCGUUCUUUUGCAACCUAAUGGGCGGUCAACUCAAUUAUUCCGACUCGGUUUUGUGAAGUUUGCUCGAUUUUUAUUGGCUGGUAAAGAUAGUGGAGUGGAAACUAGAGAAGUGUUUGCUAGCGAUGGUCACAGAGGACUCGAAGUUGGUGCUUCGUCGCUUCUAUUGGCAAAUGUUGUAAACAGUCUCCUUGUCUUCAAAGCGAGAAAGUUGGUUAGCUUAGUAUUCCUUGGAUACUGCGUGGAUUCAGUUAUCAUGCCACUGGUUGAUGUAAGUGCUGUAACAUCCAAGAGAGCUUUUGCACAGCGCUUCUAAAAGGAGGAAAAAUCAUCAAAGGAUGAGGAGCUCGAUGUUUCUUCAACUUCUUUAAACUCUAGCAAUGCAUCCUUGGAAUGGUAAAUGGUGUUUGCAUGUUGUCAUCCUUCUGGAUACACCAGUUAAAGUGUCCAUUAAAAUAAAUAACUUGAAUUUGGGAGGGGGAGAUGGGGAUGUCAUUGAUGCUAGAUAGACUAGGUAUGUUGGAUGCAGAAAUGCUUAAUGCCCACAUGGAGUUGGUAGGUUUAGGCCCUACAGAAUACCAUCCCAAUGGUGUCGAGCAUCUAUAUAGUUUUCCACAUAUUUCUAAUUUUGUUUCUCAAAAUGUAACUCUUCUUCUAGCUCCUCUUCUUCCUCUUUUUUAAUGAUUGAGCGUCCUUACAAGGAGAUAUUCCAUGUAUACUGGAUUGUACAGUAUAGGCUGUAAAGUUUCUCACA